rnacentral:siRNA from 1 species
CCAAUGGUUUAUUAGUGCUUC